UUCCAUAAAUGUGUAUUGAGGCAGCUUUCUGGUCUGCCCGAGGGCUUGUUCCACUAAAUCACGAGUAUGUUGGUUUAGCAUAUGGAGUGAGUAGCCCCUUCCUUGGAUGUAUAAACAUCUGGCUGACAUUGUGGGCCACUGUGGAGGGAGAAGAAACAGACGGGAUCCCUAACCUGUAAUUACUUGAAAACAGUGUUGACAUUUAGGGGGACUGGUUGAAUUCUUGGGCUGCUCGUAGUCCCCAUCCUGAGUGUGACAGCAGGGACUGGGGCAUCUCUAGAAGUCUGCAAAACUGGGGACAAGUGGUACUCUGUCCAGUUCUUCUGCCUCCAAUAUUUUUAUAGUCAUUAAUAGAGAUUAAUGAAAUUGAAGAGCAUGUUGAAAGGAAAGACUAAAGGAGAGGUCAUCAAAGGAUAACAGGCAACCUGAGUGCUGCUUGAGACAAUGUACAUAAAAUUGCUUUUUAAAUAUAAAAGCAUCAGAGACGUGUAAAGGAUUAAUGCAACGUACAUGAAGGCCUCAGCAGGGAUCCCGAAUGAAAGCUCCUUGAAGUUGGGGACUUUGGACAUCUUGAACAGUGCAUGGUACAUUUGGGUGCUCAAUAUUUGUGGAUUAAAUAAAUGAGUGACUAUUUCAUUUUA